rnacentral:rRNA from 1 species
GCGUAAAGGGUGCGCAGGUGGCUGUGCAAGUCGUAGAUGAAAUCCCCGGGCUCAACUCGGGAACUGUCUCCGAAACUGCACAGCUUGAGGAUGGUUGAGGAAAGCGGAAUUCCCGGUGGAGCGGUGAUAUGCGUAGAUAUCGGGAGGAACACCAGAGGCGAAGGCGGCUUUCUGGGCCAUUCCUGACACUCAUGCACGAAAGCUAGGGGAGCGAACGGGAUUAGAUACCCCGGUAGUCCUAGCCGUAAACGAUGGGCACUAGAUGUUCCUGCUUAAAGUGGGAGUGUCGUAGCUAACGCGUUAAGUGCCCCGCCUGGGGAGUACGGUCGCAAGGGUGAAACUCAAAGGAAUUGACGGGGGCCCGCACAAGCGGUGGAGCAUGUGGUUUAAUUCGACGCAACGCGAAAAGCCUUACCUGGGCUUGAACUGCUGGUACUAGUGAUCCGAAAGGUAAACGAUCCUGCUUGCAGGAAGCCAGUAGAGGUGCUGCAUGGCUGUCGUCAGCUCGUGUCGUGAGAUGUU